rnacentral:rRNA from 1 species
AUUGAACGCUGGCGGCCGGCCUAACACAUGCAAGUCGAACGAGUGGCGGACGGGUGAGUAAUGUCUGGGAAACUGCCUGAUGGAGGGGGAUAACUACUGGAAACGGUAGCUAAUACCGCAUACCAUCAGAUGUGCCCAGAUGGGAUUAGCUGGUAGGUGGGGUAAAGGCUCACCUAGGCGACGAUCCCUAGCUGGUCUGAGAGGAUGACCAGCCACACUGGAACUGAGACACGGUCCAGACUCCUACGGGAGGCAGCAGUGGGGAAUAUUGCACAAUGGGCGCAAGCCUGAUGCAGCCAUGCCGCGUGUAUGAAGAAGGCCUUCGGGUUGUAAAGUACUUUCAGCGGGGAGGCGUUACCCGCAGAAGAAGCACCGGCUAACUCCGUGCCAGCAGCCGCGGUAAUUC